AGAAAAGAAAAAGUUAAUUUUAUAUAUAUAUAUAUAGUCUGGGUAUGGUGCUUGUAAAAGCACCAAGCAUUUGGUAUUUAUAAAGUUUUUACCAUUAAAUCUACUCUUUUGAUCAUUUUCACCCGUUAGAUCAUACUAUUCAACCAAUCACUGACUCAACCUUAGAGGGUCUCAUAUCAUCUUAACCACACAUCUCUUAAUCCAAUGGCCAAAACUUUCUCUCUAUCUCUCUCUAUAUAUAUAGAGAGAGAGUAGAGCUAUAGCCUUGUGGGGGACCACUCAACUCUAGAGAUACUAUUCAACCCUUAGGGAGAUUGCAAUCAUCUCAAUGUACAAUUAUUGAUCGAAGGGUCAAAAAGUUGGAGGUAUCAAAUCCUCUAUACUUUUGAUAGCAUAUUAGCUGUACACUAUAUAUAUA
rnacentral:lncRNA from 1 species